rnacentral:tRNA from 1 species
GCGAACGUAGCUCAUCUGGCAGAGCGCCACCUUGCCAAGGUGGAGGUAGCGGGUUCGAGCCCCGUCGUUCGCUCCA